rnacentral:rRNA from 1 species
AGUCGAGCGAACGGAUGAGAAGCUUGCUUCUCUGAUGUUAGCGGCGGACGGGUGAGUAACACGUGGAUAACCUACCUAUAAGACUGGGAUAACUUCGGGAAACCGGAGCUAAUACCGGAUAAUAUUUUGAACCGCAUGGUUCAAAAGUGAAAGACGGUCUUGCUGUCACUUAUAGAUGGAUCCGCGCUGCAUUAGCUAGUUGGUAAGGUAACGGCUUACCAAGGCAACGAUGCAUAGCCGACCUGAGAGGGUGAUCGGCCACACUGGAACUGAGACACGGUCCAGACUCCUACGGGAGGCAGCAGUAGGGAAUCUUCCGCAAUGGGCGAAAGCCUGACGGAGCAACGCCGCGUGAGUGAUGAAGGUCUUCGGAUCGUAAAACUCUGUUAUUAGGGAAGAACAUAUGUGUAAGUAACUGUGCACAUCUUGACGGUACCUAAUCAGAAAGCCACGGCUAACUACGUGCCAGCAGCCGCGGUAAUACGUAGGUGGCAAGCGUUAUCCGGAAUUAUUGGGCGUAAAGCGCGCGUAGGCGGUUUUUUAAGUCUGAUGUGAAAGCCCACGGCUCAACCGUGGAGGGUCAUUGGAAACUGGAAAACUUGAGUGCAGAAGAGGAAAGUGGAAUUCCAUGUGUAGCGGUGAAAUGCGCAGAGAUAUGGAGCGCACACCAGUGGCGAAGGCGACUUUCUGGUCUGUAACUGACGCUGAUGUGCGAAAGCGUGGGGAUCAAAC